GUGGGUAGUUUGACUGGGGCGGUCUCCUCCUAAAGAGUAACGGAGGAGCACGAAGGUUGGCUAAUCCUGGUCGGACAUCAGGAGGUUAGUGCAAUGGCAUAAGCCAGCUUGACUGCGAGCGUGACGGCGCGAGCAGGUGCGAAAGCAGGUCAUAGUGAUCCGGUGGUUCUGAAUGGAAGGGCCAUCGCUCAACGGAUAAAAGGUACUCCGGGGAUAACAGGCUGAUACCGCCCAAGAGUUCAUAUCGACGGCGGUGUUUGGCACCUCGAUGUCGGCUCAUCACAUCCUGGGGCUGAAGUAGGUCCCAAGGGUAUGGCUGUUCGCCAUUUAAAGUGGUACGCGAGCUGGGUUUAGAACGUCGUGAGACAGUUCGGUCCCUAUCUGCCGUGGGCGCUGGAGAACUGAGGGGGGCUGCUCCUAGUACGAGAGGACCGGAGUGGACGCAUCACUGGUGUUCGGGUUGUCAUGCCAAUGGCACUGCCCGGUAGCUAAAUGCGGAAGAGAUAAGUGCUGAAAGCAUCUAAGCACGAAACUUGCCCCGAGAUGAGUUCUCCCUGAGACUUAAAGUCUCCUGAAGGAACGUUGAAGACGACGACGUUGAUAGGCCG
rnacentral:rRNA from 2 species